ACGCUGGCGGCAGGCCUAACACAUGCAAGUCGAGCGGUAGAGAGAAGCUUGCUUCUCUUGAGAGCGGCGGACGGGUGAGUAAUGCCUAGGAAUCUGCCUGGUAGUGGGGGAUAACGUUCGGAAACGGACGCUAAUACCGCAUACGUCCUACGGGAGAAAGCAGGGGACCUUCGGGCCUUGCGCUAUCAGAUGAGCCUAGGUCGGAUUAGCUAGUUGGUGGGGUAAUGGCUCACCAAGGCGACGAUCCGUAACUGGUCUGAGAGGAUGAUCAGUCACACUGGAACUGAGACACGGUCCAGACUCCUACGGGAGGCCGCAGUGGGGAAUAUUGGACAAUGGGCGAAAGCCUGAUCCAGCCAUGCCGCGUGUGUGAAGAAGGUCUUCGGAUUGUAAAGCACUUUAAGUUGGGAGGAAGGGUUGUAGAUUAAUACUCUGCAAUUUUGACGUUACCGACAGAAUAAGCACCGGCUAACUCUGUGCCAGCAGCCGCGGUAAUACAGAGGGUGCAAGCGUUAAUCGGAAUUACUGGGCGUAAAGCGCGCGUAGGUGGUUAGUUAAGUUGGAUGUGAAAUCCCCGGGCUCAACCUGGGAACUGCAUUCAAAACUGACUGACUAGAGUAUGGUAGAGGGUGGUGGAAUUUCCUGUGUAGCGGUGAAAUGCGUAGAUAUAGGAAGGAACACCAGUGGCGAAGGCGACCACCUGGACUGAUACUGACACUGAGGUGCGAAAGCGUGGGGAGCAAAC
rnacentral:rRNA from 1 species